rnacentral:rRNA from 1 species
UACGUAGGGUGCGAGCGUUGUCCGGAAUUAUUGGGCGUAAAGGGCUCGUAGGCGGUUUGUCGCGUCGGGAGUGAAAACCUUGGGCUUAACUCAGGGCUUGCUUUCGAUACGGGCAGACUAGAGGUAUGCAGGGGAGAACGGAAUUCCUGGUGUAGCGGUGAAAUGCGCAGAUAUCAGGAGGAACACCGGUGGCGAAGGCGGUUCUCUGGGCCGUAACUGACGCUGAGGAGCGAAAGCGUGGGGAGCGAACAGG